CUUGUGACGGCGUACCUUUUGUAUAAUGGGUCAUCGACUUGGUCUAUCUAGCAAGCUUAAGCCGUUAGGUGUAGGCGCAGCGAAAGCGAGUCUUAAUAGGGCGAAUGAGUUAGGUGGAUCAGACCCGAAACCGAGUGAUCUAGGCAUGGCCAGGUUGAAGGUAAGGUAACACUUACUGGAGGACCGAACCCACAUCUGUUGAAAAAGAUCGGGAUGAGCUGUGCCUAGGGGUGAAAGGCCAAUCAAACUCGGAGAUAGCUGGUUCUCUGCGAAAUCUAUUUAGGUAGAGCGUCAUCCGAAUACCCUCGGGGGUAGAGCACUGGAUGGGUAAUGGGGCCCCACAGGCUUACUGAUCCUAACCAAACUCCGAAUACCGAGGAGUACUAGAUGGCAGACACACUGCGGAUGCUAACGUCCGUAGUGGAGAGGGAAACAACCCUGACCUACAGCUAAGGCCCCCAAUUCAUGGCUAAGUGGGAAAGCAGGUGGGACGACCAAAACAACCAGGAGGUUGGCUUAGAAGCAGCCAUCCUUUAAAGAUAGCGUAACAGCUCACUGGUCUAAAUAAGUUAUCCUGCGGCGAAGAUGUAACGGGGCUCAAGCCAUGAGCCGAAGCUUAGGAUGCCGUAAGGCAUGGUAGCAGAGCGUAGUGUGACAUAGUUCCAUUCCUCCUUAGUACCGUUCGCGGUGCAUUGGAGGAGCGGAGCUUUCGAUGAAGCCGGCGCGUGAGCGAUCCGGUGGAGAGAUCACUAGUGAGAAUGAUGACAUGAGUAGCGACAAAGAGUGUGAGAGACACUCUCGCCGAAAGUCCAAGGGUUCCUGCUUAAAGCUAAUCUGAGCAGGGUAAGCCGACCCCUAAGUCGAGGCCGAAAGGCGUAGACGAUGGGAACUGGGUUAAUAUUCCCAGGCCAGGAGGAAUGUGACGGAUCGUGAAGAUUGUUCACCCUUAUCGGAUUGGGUGGGCCGUUAAUCGGUUCCUGGAAAUAGCACCUCCAUUAGAUCGUACCCUAAACCAACACAGGUGGACUGGUAGAGAAUACCAAGGCGCUUGAGAGAACGAUGUUGAAGGAACUCGGCAAAAUACCUCCGUAAGUUCGCGAGAAGGAGGCCCAGUUUCUACGCAAGUAUUGGCUGGGGGCACAAACCAGGGGGUGGCGACUGUUUACUAAAAACACAGGGCUCUGCGAAGUCGCAAGACGACGUAUAGGGUCUGACGCCUGCCCGGUGCCUGAAGGUUAAAAGGAGAGGUGAGAGCCUUGAAUUGAAGCCCAGGUAAACGGCGGCCGUAACUAUAACGGUCCUAAGGUAGCGAAAUUCCUUGUCGGGUAAGUUCCGACCUGCACGAAUGGCGUAACGACUUCCCCGCUGUCUCCAACAUCGACUCAGCGAAAUUGAAUUACCUGUCAAGAUGCAGGUUUCCCGCGGUUAGACGGAAAGACCCCGUGCACCUUUACUACAGCUUCACAUUGGCAUUAGGCCGAACAUGUGCAGGAUAGGUGGUGGGCUUUGAAUCGGUGACGCCAGUCAUCGUGGAGCCACCCUUGAGAUACCACCCUUGUUCUGCUUGAUGUCUAACCGCGGUCCGUUAUCCGGAUCCGGGACCCUGUGUGGCGGGUAGUUUGACUGGGGCGGUCGCCUCCUAAAGCGUAACGGAGGCGCGCGAAGGUUGGCUCAGAGCGGUCGGAAAUCGCUCGUUGAGUGCAAUGGCAGAAGCCAGCCUGACUGCGAGACUGACAAGUCGAGCAGAGUCGAAAGACGGCCAUAGUGAUCCGGUGGUCCCGAGUGGAAGGGCCAUCGCUCAACGGAUAAAAGGUACGCCGGGGAUAACAGGCUGAUACUGCCCAAGAGUCCAUAUCGACGGCAGUGUUUGGCACCUCGAUGUCGGCUCAUCUCAUCCUGGGGCUGGAGCAGGUCCCAAGGGUACGGCUGUUCGCCGUUUAAAGAGGUACGUGAGCUGGGUUUAGAACGUCGUGAGACAGUUCGGUCCCUAUCUGCCGUGGGUGUAGGAUACUUGAGAGGAGUUGCCCCUAGUACGAGAGGACCGGGGUGAACGAACCACUGGUGGACCAGUUGUCGUGCCAACGGCAGUGCUGGGUAGCUAUGUUCGGACAGGAUAACCGCUGAAGGCAUCUAAGCGGGAAGCCCCCCUCAAAACAAGGUAUCCCUGAGGACCGUGGUAGACCACCACGUCGAUAGGCCGGAGAUGUAAGCGCAGCAAUGCGUUCAGUUGACCGGUACUAAUUGUCCGAUAGGCUUGAU
rnacentral:rRNA from 1 species